rnacentral:rRNA from 1 species
UACGUAGGAGGCAAGCGUUGUCCGGAAUUACUGGGCGUAAAGCGCGUGUAGGUGGUGGGACACGUCUGCUGUGAAAGCGCCUGGCUUAACCGGGCGAGGUCGGCGGAAACUGUCCGACUCGAGGACGGUAGAGGGGGGUGGAAUUCCCGGUGUAGUGGUGAAAUGCGUAGAGAUCGGGAGGAACACCUGUGGCGAAGGCGGCCCCCUGGGCCGGCCUUGACACUGAGACGCGAAGGCGUGGGGAGCGAACGGG